rnacentral:tRNA from 1 species
UCUAUGGUGGUCCAGCGGCUAAGACUCUGCACUCCCAAUGCAACAGGCCUGGGUUCGAUCCCUGGUCAGGGAA